GACGAACGCUUGCGGCGUGCUUAACACAUGCAAGUCGAACGGAAAGGCCCUGCUUUUGUGGGGUGCUCGAGUGGCGAACGGGUGAGUAACACGUGAGUAACCUGCCCUUGACUUUGGGAUAACUUCAGGAAACAGGGGCUAAUACCGGAUAGGAGCUCCUGCUGCAUGGUGGGGGUUGGAAAGUUUCGGCGGUUGGGGAUGGACUCGCGGCUUAUCAGCUUGUUGGUGGGGUAGUGGCUUACCAAGGCUUUGACGGGUAGCCGGCCUGAGAGGGUGACCGGCCACAUUGGGACUGAGAUACGGCCCAGACUCCUACGGGAGGCAGCAGUGGGGAAUAUUGCACAAUGGGCGGAAGCCUGAUGCAGCAACGCCGCGUGCGGGAUGACGGCCUUCGGGUUGUAAACCGCUUUCGCCUGUGACGAAGCGUGAGUGACGGUAAUGGGUAAAGAAGCACCGGCUAACUACGUGCCAGCAGCCGCGGUGAUACGUAGGGUGCGAGCGUUGUCCGGAUUUAUUGGGCGUAAAGGGCUCGUAGGUGGUUGAUCGCGUCGGAAGUGUAAUCUUGGGGCUUAACCCUGAGCGUGCUUUCGAUACGGGUUGACUUGAGGAAGGUAGGGGAGAAUGGAAUUCCUGGUGGAGCGGUGGAAUGCGCAGAUAUCAGGAGGAACACCAGUGGCGAAGGCGGUUCUCUGGGCCUUUCCUGACGCUGAGGAGCGAAAGCGUGGGGAGCGAACAGGCCUAGAUACCCUGGUAGUCCACGCUGUAAACGGUGGGUACUAGGUGUGGGGUCCAUUCCACGGGUUCCGUGCCGUAGCUAACGCUUUAAGUACCCCGCCUGGGGAGUACGGCCGCAAGGCUAAAACUCAAAGGAAUUGACGGGGCCCCGCACAAGCGGCGGAGCAUGCGGAUUAAUUCGAUGCAACGCGUAGAACCUUACCUGGGUUUGACAUGGAUCGGGAGUGCUCAGAGAUGGGUGUGCCUCUUUUGGGGUCGGUUCACAGGUGGUGCAUGGCUGUCGUCAGCUCGUGUCGUGAGAUGUUGGGUUAAGUCCCGCAACGAGCGCAACCCUUGUUCACUGUUGCCAGCACGUUAUGGUGGGGACUCAGUGGAGACCGCCGGGGUCAACUCGGAGGAAGGUGGGGAUGACGUCAAGUCAUCAUGCCCCUUAUGUCCAGGGCUUCACGCAUGCUACAAUGGCUUGUACAGAGAGUGGCGAGCCUGUGAGGGUGAGCGAAUCUCGGAAAGCCGGUCUCAGUUCGGAUUGGGGUCUGCAACUCGACCUCAUGAAGUCGGAGUCGCUAGUAAUCGCAGAUCAGCAACGCUGCGGUGAAUACGUUCCCGGG
rnacentral:rRNA from 1 species